UAGUGGUACGGAUGUGGGUAACCAACACUGAGGGCGAGCAGUUUGAGUGGCAAUAGGGCUGGAGCAUUCGUCGGUCCAGCGGAUGACGAGGUCUGGGAACAUCACAAGCUGUUGCCUGCAUCACAGUUGGGAGCCAAAUAAGAUCCAUGGCAAAGCCAUAUAUCCAGUCUCCAUCAUGCAUAGGGUUAUAUGAACAAGGGGAAGUCCAAGGAGAUGACAGUAACUACUAUGGUCAAGAUAUGCGCAUAACGAUGCUAUCAUUCAUUCCUUGACAUUAGACGUGGGGCUGUUCUAAUCCAUAUCUUUGCUUACUAUGAGAAAGUAUGAACACAUGGAUCCUUUUCUUUAUUCACACAUUGCAAUAGCCAUUUGUAAUUGAUAUGUUGAAAGCAAACCAUGUUCAUCGGCAAGUUGCUUGGAUACACUGAUUCUCCUAGGAACCAAUGCAGGUAGUAAAUUUUGGUCUUAUCAAUAUUUACACAGGAUUGUGCUGAUCUAGCACUAUCUACAGAUUUAUUUAAUUUGUAUAUUUUUCUGUUCCGCUAUUUCAGGUUUCAGUACAUUUACAAUCUAAUUGAUCAGUCCUUUAGAGGCUUCCAGGUUCAGCUGUGGCCAUCGUGACUACAAGCUGCUAAGAGCGACAGCCGUGUGGAGCACUGCAUGUUCCGUGAGUUGUGCUAAUAAAUGGGUUAACAAACAUGUUGUGGUCAGCAUUGAGUUCAUCACCUGUCUGUUCUUCCUGCUAUUCCAAUAAGAUUUGGAGAGGAAGCUGAGGUGCUAAAGAAGAAGAGAUUUCCACUUUGGGGCCAUGUAAAUCGCAGAAUCAAGUUAGCAUAAAUUAUUGGGAGCUAAUGGAUCUUUUUCCUUCUCCAGUUUCUAUUGCUUUAAUAUAUUUACCCUCAGAUUUGGGCAAUGGAUUCCGGCUCAUGAUUCUUUCAGAUUCCAGAUGUUCUUUGGCACUUUUACUUUUGUUCGACCAAUAGAACACACAUGAACCAUUAAUACAUUAUUUGAUUGAUGUGAAAAUUUCCAGACUGAUCUGAAUUAAACGUGGCAUGGGUUAUUCAUAGGAGAGAAACAGAGUUUAAGAGUUAGUACUAUUGGUUGAUUGAUAUACAGUGUAUCAGUGAUAAAUACUAAGACCUUAGCUAAGCUAUCUCUAUAUAAAUGCGGUUUAUUCUUUUUGGUGUUUUCUCAUUCAUUAAGUUCAACUUUUUAUUGCUGUAUAUACCAAGCUGAAUGCCAUGCAUGAGCUCCAAGACAUCUGUUCUAAGAGAUUUACAUGAGAAUACCAUAUGCAAAUCAUUGACAAGAGGAACUCCAAAAUCAUUGCUGUCCAGAUAUUCUAAAUUUUAUUCUGCCUAUUUAGAAUAAAAUUGAUGUAUCACACAAGUAUCUUUAUGAGAUAUUGCUAUGUCAAUACAUCAAUGUAUUGCUAAGUUGUAGAACCUAUGUCGAAUUAUAAAUAUGUAUUGAGUUAUAAUCCAUUCUCUUCUAAUUUCUACCCUUGCUACUUCUAAACCUUUGAGAAUUGAACCGUGCUUGACAUGAACUCAAGUCACAUGUGUAUAGAGCACUGAAAGAGCACACCAUCAGCUAUCAACAUUUCAAUGAUUAUCUCCUUUUUGCUUGGAUCUGAGGUAUAGUGAAAAUAAUAUUGGAGGAGUAACUCUUUGUUUCCUCAAUGCAAAUGUACAUAAUAUUGGAAGAGUAACCUUUUGUUUUCUCAAUACAAAUGUACAUGAUUUUGAAUUAUUCAUUGAUUGGCAGGUUAGCUUCUUUUUGCAUUGAAUUUUUGUUUUUCGCCCAUGGCAACACACGGGCAUGGACCUAGUAGGACAAGAAAGCUGACUAGUAGCAUCGCAUGACCCAAUCAAAAUAAUACCAUGACAUGAUGGGCCUCUUUGGCACAGCUUCUGCUUCACCAUCAAAGCAAACAGAAAAUAGACAAUGUGCGACCAAAUGGUUGGAUUCUACAGGGCUAUGAGGAAGUAAGGCCACAUUUGAACUAAGAAGCAGAACAGUAGCUGCUUAUUAAAAGCUUGUCCCACAAGCUGGAUACUGCAUAAGCAGUAGUUGUGCCAAAGGGAACCGAUCUGAAUGUGAGUCUGCUACCAUAUUUGAAUAAAAUUUUUAAUUUCCAAUUGAAGAUCCAAGUAUCAAACGCAUAAGCUC